rnacentral:rRNA from 1 species
CAGCACCGCGGUAAUACGAAGGGUGCAAGCGUUACUCGGAAUUACUGGGCGUAAAGCGUGCGUAGGUGGUGGUUUAAGUCCGUUGUGAAAGCCCUGGGCUCAACCUGGGAAUUGCAGUGGAUACUGGGUCACUAGAGUGUGGUAGAGGAUAGUGGAAUUUCCGGUGUAGCAGUGAAAUGCGUAGAGAUCGGAAGGAACAUCUGUGGCGAAGGCGACUAUCUGGGCCAACACUGACACUGAGGCACGAAAGCGUGGGGAGCAAACAGGAUUAGAUACCCCAGUAGUCCCUGUCUCUUAUACA